rnacentral:ncRNA from 1 species
GACGGGGAGCUCUAAUCGAGGGGCUGAGAGGGUACUAUAGUACCGACCCGAUGAACCUGACGGAUAAUGCCGGCGAAGGGAGUAAU